rnacentral:rRNA from 1 species
UACCAGCACCCCGAGUGGUCGGGACGUUUAUUGGGCCUAAAGCAUCCGUAGCCGGUUCUACAAGUCUUCCGUUAAAUCCAGCUGCUUAACAGAUGGGCUGCGGAAGAUACUAUGGAGCUAGGAGGCGGGAGAGGCAAGCGGUACUCGAUGGGUAGGGGUAAAAUCCGUUGAUCCAUUGAAGACCACCAGUGGCGAAGGCGGCUCACUGGCCCAUAACUGACGCUGAGGCACGAAAGCGUGGGGAGCAAACAGG